rnacentral:rRNA from 1 species
GACGAACCGUGCAAACGUUGUUCGGAUUCACUGGGCUUAAAGGGCGCGUAGGCGGUACGCCAAGUCUGGGGUGAAAUCUUUCGGCUCAACCGGAAAAUUGCCUGGGAUACUGGCGUGCUCGAGGGAGGUAGGGGCAGCGGGAACUGCCAGUGGAGCGGUGAAAUGCGUUGAUAUUGGCAGGAACGCCGGUGGCGAAAGCGCGCUGCUGGACCUCUUCUGACGCUGAUGCGCGAAAGCUACGGGAGCAAACGGG